rnacentral:rRNA from 1 species
UACGGAGGGUGCAAGCGUUAAUCGGAAUUACUGGGCGUAAAGCGCGCGUAGGUGGUUUGUUAAGUUGAAUGUGAAAUCCCCGGGCUCAACCUGGGAACUGCAUGCAAAACUGGCAAGCUAGAGUAUGGUAGAGGGUGGUGGAAUUUCCUGUGUAGCGGUGAAAUGCGUAGAUAUAGGAAGGAACACCAGUGGCGAAGGCGACCACCUGGACUGAUACUGACACUGAGGUGCGAAAGCGUGGGGAGCAAACAGG